AUCUCUUCACGUCUAAGAGCAGCUUUCCUUCCCACUGUAGACAAUACGCCUCUCAGUCUCCAUUUACACUCUGGGAUUCCCACCUACCAGCAAGGGUCUUCGGGAUACCGUCUGGGAGUAACAUCUUCUCGAGAGCACAAUACAAAUGGCCAGAGCUUCGCCUGCCCCUUCUUGGGGUGGGGUACACCGAUCCCGCCGGCAUCCCGCUGCCCGCCUUCGGCAAGGCUUUCCUCGUAUUUUCAUCGUCCAGAAAGACGCGGUGAACUAGAAUCGAUUUGUUCUCGGUACGGCGGGUAUUCCCGGCAGCGACGUCUCACCGCCCGCUCCCUGCUGGGCGGACCCAUCGCCGGGCUAUUUCUCGGGGUACCAGCGCCCUCGGCCGGCACUCGACCCGAGGAGGGAAAAGCCUUAGCGAGCAGAGCUGCAGCGCCGGAGCCCGACCCUUCAGAGCGAGGGCGGGCAGAACCAAGCUCUUUCUUGGGCUGCGCCGGUCGUGAGCAAGAGCGAGCCUUGCUCCGCAGUGGGAAGGACUGCUGCCAGCUCCGCACCCCCAGGGCGGGACAGAGCAUCCCACCCAAGGAGUGCAAGGAAAGGAGGAAAAAGGGGAGCCCCCUCCCCGUUUCGCCUUGCGAAAAACGGGCAGCAAUACCGUCAGCUCAACCAGCUCUUCGUUUGCCAUCAGCUGCCAACCGGGUGAACAGCAAGAUGUUCGUCAGUGUUACGUCCCACAACUUUCUGACAGCAAUCAAACUUUUUCAGGGAAAAAUUCUAGAUACAUUGUUUUGCAUCCAGACCGCCCUGGGCGGGGGGAGGGGGGGGGGGGAAGAGGGGAAUGGAAGUGGGGGUAUAUUGGGGCCAUAAUGUACUCCAAACCCGUACUGUAAGCAGUUGGGCAUUUUGUCUCCCCAGCCACUCCUGCACAGACGCUGAGCGGGAAUGAUGGGGAGGAACUGGGCUUCUUAGAUGAGCUGCUCCUCAUUUAUUACAUAUAUUUGCAAAGCACCAGGCUCCCUAGCUUUAAAAGACCUUGGGCUCCACCAGUUAAUUUUAACUAUCUGCUUAAGGUCUAACAAGCAAAUUAUGACUGGAGAAGAGUGGGAGGUAGCUGAACUCAGUGCACCAGCCAUGCAUCACUGCCCCCCAUCCCCCAAACAAGGAAAAGGGAUGACUUUGGAUGUUCAACAGGUUAUUGCUAAAACAAUGAAUUCCUUCGUAAGUUACCACAGUACGGUUACAAGACGUUUAAAAAGAUUAAUAGUUCAAUGUCUAUUCUGAAUUGGAGACUUCUCUGUCCUCCCUCCCUUCCCCCCCCCCAAAAAAAGGUACAUUAAGAUACCUAAGUAAGCUGAACCUUAGCCUUUCAGUAAUAGGUAUUUGUUUUAUUAACACUACAAGGAGACAGUAAAUUCUCACAUCCACUAGAAGUUUAUAAAAGCCUCCAGAUAAAUUUGUGCAUUUUUGUGAUUAAAUAUGUCUUAUAGCUUAAAAGCAUUAAAAGUUUACUUGAGUUGCAAUUUAAGAUCAUUUUGGCGAAUUCCCAAAUUUUUUUUUUUUUGGGGGGGGGGGGGGGGGAGGAAUGAUGCAGGGGUGGUGGUAGGAGGAAAAUUCACAAUUUUAAUCUGAUUCUUUGACCCUAAAGGGUUUGGUCUCUUUUAUAAAAACUGUUAAAAACACUACUCUGAGCCCUUAGAUGUACCAUAAAGAAAUUUCCUAUUAUGAAUUGCAAUAUUAGUAUGAUCACGAACUUGUCUCUUGUCUGCACUUAUCCUGACCAGACCCUAGCUCUGAUGAAAGAGGAAUUCUAAGAUUUUUCUUGAAAAAGAACAGCAUUAGAUUCUUUGCUAUGUAUGCUAAGAGCUAGAGAAAAGAGAGAACACCUUGAGGGAUCUGGUUCCAAUAAAUAUUUUCUUGUUGGAGUUUAGUGGCUUCCA
ensembl:lncRNA